GAAAGCCGUGUGCAAUGAAAGUUGCCCGCACGGUUUGGAUGGGGGGGAGAGAGGACGAGUAUCCAGUGGAAUAAUGUCAUUAAGAUUAAUGCACUGGAGAAAGAAAUCUUUUCUCUAUCCAUAU
rnacentral:ncRNA from 1 species